AUUGAACGCCGGUGGAAUGCUUUACACAUGCAAGUCGAACGGCAGCACGGACUUCGGUCUGGUGGCGAGUGGCGAACGGGUGAGUAAUAUAUCGGAACGUAUCCAAUAAUGGGGGAUAACUAAUCGAAAGGUUGGCUAAUACCGCAUAUGUCCUACGGGAGAAAGCUAGGGACCUUCGGGCCUGGCGUUAAUGGAGCGGCCGAUAUCGGAUUAGCUAGUUGGUGAGGUAAAGGCUCACCAAGGCGACGAUCCGUAGCUGGUCUGAGAGGACGACCAGCCACACUGGAACUGAGACACGGUCCAGACUCCUACGGGAGGCAGCAGUGGGGAAUUUUGGACAAUGGGCGAAAGCCUGAUCCAGCCAUUCCGCGUGAGUGAAGAAGGCCUUCGGGUUGUAAAGCUCUUUCGCAAGAGAAGAAAACUUACCCUCUAACAUAGGGUGAGGUUGACGGUAUCUUGAUAAGAAGCACCGGCUAACUACGUGCCAGCCGCCGCAGUAA
rnacentral:rRNA from 1 species